rnacentral:tRNA from 1 species
GCAGGGGUGGUGGAAUGGUAGACACGCUACUUUGAGGGGGUAGUGGGCGAAAGCCCGUGAGGGUUCAAAUCCCUUUCCCUGCACCA